UCUCCAAGUUAUGGGGAAACCUAAAGGCACCGGCUCGCAUCCGAGCUUGAAAGCUAAGCAGGGUCAGCUCUGGUCAGUCCUUGUAUGGGAGACCACCAGGAAAUACCAAAAGCUGUAGAA
rnacentral:rRNA from 11 species